rnacentral:tRNA from 1 species
GGGGCUGUAGCUUAGUUGGCCAAAAGCGCUGCACUGUCGAUGCAGAGAUCGCGAGUUCAAAUCUCGUCAGUCCCGCCA